UACGGAGGGAGCUAGCGUUGUUCGGAAUUACUGGGCGUAAAGCGCACGUAGGCGGCUUUGUAAGUUAGAGGUGAAAGCCCGGGGCUCAACUCCGGAACUGCCUUUAAGACUGCAUCGCUUGAAUCCAGGAGAGGUGAGUGGAAUUCCGAGUGUAGAGGUGAAAUUCGUAGAUAUUCGGAAGAACACCAGUGGCGAAGGCGGCUCACUGG
rnacentral:rRNA from 1 species